rnacentral:lncRNA from 1 species
GUUUCUUGGUUCUACUUCACUUUGUCAGCAGAGUUUUAUGUGAUAAACUUAUUGAACCUUCCCAAUCAAGUUCUGUCUUAAAAAAAAAAUUCAGUAUCUUCAGGACAAUAAUUCCUAGAAGAACAUUCUCUUUCAAAGUGAUCACUACUAUUUGCCCCAUCAGUUUUGGGUAAUUACUCUUGAGCUUUGAAGUUUCCAUAAAUAACAACCAUUAAUUGAACACCUAUAUUUCAAGCAUUUUUUACAUUUAUUGUGUUUCAGUUUCUGUUAAUAUGUUAUUAUGUUUCCAUUUAGU